rnacentral:rRNA from 2 species
AGUCGACGAACUCUGGUAUUGAUUGGUGCUUGCAUCAUGAUUUACAUUUGAGUGAGUGGCGAACUGGUGAGUAACACGUGGGAAACCUGCCCAGAAGCGGGGGAUAACACCUGGAAACAGAUGCUAAUACCGCAUAACAACUUGGACCGCAUGGUCCGAGCUUGAAAGAUGGCUUCGGCUAUCACUUUUGGAUGGUCCCGCGGCGUAUUAGCUAGAUGGUGGGGUAACGGCUCACCAUGGCAAUGAUACGUAGCCGACCUGAGAGGGUAAUCGGCCACAUUGGGACUGAGACACGGCCCAAACUCCUACGGGAGGCAGCAGUAGGGAAUCUUCCACAAUGGACGAAAGUCUGAUGGAGCAACGCCGCGUGAGUGAAGAAGGGUUUCGGCUCGUAAAACUCUGUUGUUAAAGAAGAACAUAUCUGAGAGUAACUGUUCAGGUAUUGACGGUAUUUAACCAGAAAGCCACGGCUAACUACGUGCCAGCAGCCGCGGUAAUACGUAGGUGGCAAGCGUUGUCCGGAUUUAUUGGGCGUAAAGCGAGCGCAGGCGGUUUUUUAAGUCUGAUGUGAAAGCCUUCGGCUCAACCGAAGAAGUGCAUCGGAAACUGGGAAACUUGAGUGCAGAAGAGGACAGUGGAACUCCAUGUGUAGCGGUGAAAUGCGUAGAUAUAUGGAAGAACACCAGUGGCGAAGGCGGCUGUCUGGUCUGUAACUGACGCUGAGGCUCGAAAGUAUGGGUAGCAAACAGGAUUAGAUACCCUGGUAGUCCAUACCGUAAACGAUGAAUGCUAAGUGUUGGAGGGUUUCCGCCCUUCAGUGCUGCAGCUAACGCAUUAAGCAUUCCGCCUGGGGAGUACGGCCGCAAGGCUGAAACUCAAAGGAAUUGACGGGG